GAUGAACGCUGGCGGCGUGCUUAACACAUGCAAGUCGAACGAAGCACUUUGCUUGAUUUCCUUCGGGAAUGAUUGUUCUGUGACUGAGUGGCGGACGGGUGAGUAACGCGUGGAUAACCUGCCUCACACAGGGGGAUAACAGUUGGAAACGGCUGCUAAUACCGCAUAAGCGCACAGCACCGCAUGGUGCAGUGUGAAAAACUCCGGUGGUGUGAGAUGGAUCCGCGUCUGAUUAGCUUGUUGGCGGGUAACGCCCACCAAGGCGACGAUCAGUAGCCGGCCUGAGAGG
rnacentral:rRNA from 1 species